UUGACUGAAACAAAACAAAACAAAAGGUCCACUGGAUGUCUGCCUCCUUGGGGGGUGAGCCAGACAGACUGACAAACAAACAGACCCAACUGUGUUUGGGGGAGGGUUUCUCCUCCCGUUUUGCCCGGCAGCAGCAGCAUGGACGUGUUGGCUAGUUAUAGUAUAUUCCAGGAGCUACAACUUGUCCACGACACCGGCUACUUCUCAGCUUUGCCAUCCCUGGAGGAGACCUGGCAGCAGACAUGCCUUGAAUUGGAACGCUACCUGCAGACAGAGCCUAGGAGGAUCUCGGAGACCUUUGGUGAGGACUUGGACUGUUUCCUCCGUGCUUCUCCUCCCCCGUGCAUUGAGGAAAGUUUCCGGCGCUUAGACCCCCUGCUGCUCCCUGUGGAAGCGACCAUCUGUGAGAAGAGUUCGGCAGUGGACAUUUUGCUCUCUCGGGACAAGUUGCUAUCUGAGACCUGCCUCAGCCUCCAGCCAACCAGCUCUUCUCUAGACAGCUACACAGCCGUCAACCAGGCCCAGCUCAACGCAGUGACCUCAUUAACGCCCCCCUCGUCCCCUGAGCUCAGCCGCCAUCUGGUCAAAACCUCACAGACUCUCUCAGCCGUGGAUGGCACAGUGACGUUGAAACUGGUGGCCAAGAAGGCUGCACUCAGCUCCGUGAAGGUGGGAGGGGUGGCAACAGCAGCGGCAGCCGUGGCGGCAGCUGGGACAGUUAAGAGUGGACAGAGCGACAGUGAGCAAGGAGGUGUGGGGGCUGAGGCGUGCCCCGAAAACAAGAAGAGGGUUCACCGCUGUCAGUUUAACGGGUGCCGGAAAGUUUAUACAAAAAGCUCCCACUUAAAGGCCCACCAGAGGACUCACACAGGUAGUGAGAAGCCUUAUAAGUGCUCAUGGGAAGGGUGUGAGUGGCGUUUUGCACGAAGCGAUGAGCUCACAAGGCACUACAGGAAACACACAGGUGCAAAGCCCUUUAAAUGCAACCACUGCGACAGGUGUUUUUCCAGGUCUGACCAUCUUGCCCUCCAUAUGAAGAGACAUAUCUAAAAAACCUAAAGGCCACAGUUGCCAUGGCACCGGCCGUUGUCUGAAGGAAAUGCCAUGAGGCAGGGGGCUGGACUUCAGGCGGGGACCCAUUGCCUCGCAGAAGAAAGUUCUCACUUAUUAAACCUCUGUGUACACACACGCACAGACACACACAGACGCACACACGCACUCACACAUAGACACACACACACGCGCACACACACACUGUCAUGCACUCAGCUAUAUUUAAAAUAUAUACGUCUAUUCUUUAUGCCUUGCCCUAGCCAGAUGGUAGAAGACGAAGAAGAAGGAAACCAGGUGAACUCAGCAAGGCAGUCUGGCUGCUUACUUCAGCACUAUUGGAAUUAUUUCCCGCUGUUGCCAAUGGAAAUCAAAGAAAAUGGAUGUGACGUCUCUGCAGGAGGACGGCAGCCCACCAUGACUUGUGACCUAGAGCACCUGGGAUCAACAGAGGCCUCACUCUUACUCUGCAAGCUGACGCCGAGGGGGUUACAUGCCUCACUUUCCAUCCCACACACACAAUCCAAUAUCGGCCUCCAUCUACCCGCAUUCUUAGCUAGCUGGCACUGGCCUCAACUCCAAAGACUGCCUUUAGGACCAUUAAAUGGCCUAUGCAAGCAAGCGGGGUGGUUUUAGGGCAGAUUGUAUAUUUUGUAUAUUCUGGGACCAUCCCUUCAAGACACGUCUAAAAAAACAAAAAUGGCAUUUGGUCCACCCAUGGUUGCUGCUCCUUCAUACCAGCUGGCUCCCCUCCUGCCCUCCUUGACUGUUUGACUCAUUGACUGUUAAAAUGCCACCCCAUACCUAUUUGGGAUGCAAAAGUGAAGUCUUUGAAAGGAAAUAAUAAUGUAAGAAACACAGAUACAUUUAUGACAGCAACCUUCAAGAUCCUUGGCAUUUGGUUUCUCAGCUUUCUGCAAACUUUGAUUUCACUGAAAUGUUGAAACUACUCGUCUGAGGGCAAAGGAGCCUCCUUAUCACAAAUGCUGUAGCUGCCAAUUGGACACUUGGGGCAUUCUGAGGUCUGGCCCUUAAAGUUUUCCUUCCCUUUUUCCUUUUUUCAACUUAGACCAAAAAAAAAGAAAAAAAAAAAAAAAAAGAAAAAUGAAACAAACAAAAAAAAACAGCAAAAAAAGAAAAACCACCCUAAACACACAUACACACAAAAUCUGCCCAUUUGCCAGAGGCAAUUAUGUAUAUGUUAGUAGGAGGGUAUUUUAAAAAAUCAGUUUUAUUCCAAAGAUUUAAAACUAGACAUGACUUAGAAACCAUUUCUGGAGCACUGCUUGCUGACAAUCUCAUAGUUCUCGACUGCAUUCGAGUGCAUUUGUAGCCAGUCCAUCAGGGCGGACCAUGGGAUUACAUUUGAAUGUGUGGUGCAUCCUUUCUCGAUGAAGGAUGUGUGAGGGACCUUGACCCUCAGCUGUAUUAGACUGUAGCGCCUCCAGUCAGUGCACUAGAUGAAACUUUAGACACCCCAGGUUUUGUUGGUUCGUUGAUUUCCCUUUCUAGAGCAGCCUCCAGCAUGACUGCACGCACACACCAGUGAUGGCGUUAGCCAUGGCUGCCACGAUUUACAAACGUUCUCUCCCCGGCUGGAGUUGCUCUUGCCUCUCGAAAUGCUAUUAUUAUUAAGGGUUUAUAAUACUUAAUUUAAUUUUUGAACUGACCAAUGCAAGGCUGUAUUAAAAAGAAAGUUUAAAAAAAAUGCAAAAGAGUAAUCAUUGCUUGCUCACUCCCCGUUGUCACCUGUGGUCUUGAAAAGAUCUCAUUUGAACGUGUCAGAACAAAGGGCAUUUGGUCUCCAUCAGCGUCUGAAAUGCUCGGCAGUUUCUCUCUCUUUUGUAUCAGUGAGGUCCUUUGUAAUCUGCUCCUGACCCUUCUCUGAGCAGGCUGCACUGAACCUCGAUGGUGGGGCUGGCUUGCUUGCUUCAGGUAUUUGUUGACUGUGAGAAUUGGCCUGAGAAUUUGGUGGGCGCUAAGUGUAUGGCUUUGAAACUGUUCUUCUCUAGCCCGAUUGACACCUCUGAAAGAUAACCAGCCCUGUCCGUGGUGGGUGGGGUGGGGGGCAGUAGCCCCAAUCAUUUUGGAAAUGGAUUUGUGAUCAAGUGUCCAUCAUCUCUGAAAUGGCAGAGAUGGUUGGAAAGAGCCUGCUGGCGUGAACAGGCUUUCCCAAGAAAUAACCUGAAGCUAGUUUGCUUCCGAGAGGACAGGUUAUUUAGAACAGUGCUUUAAUGGACCUUUGAAAUACAGUAAACCGCUUUCUCGUUUAAAUUGUUACCUCCCAACAUUCCAGGGGAUCUCAAAUUUGAAAGGAAAAACCUGGCAUGGUGUUUCUUGUGGUUGUCCUCUCAAGCUCGGUUUAUCCAGGGUUCAGAGUUUGACGUAUAGCAAAAGAGUGUUUCGAAGCCAUUGACGGUUUUCUUUAUUUCAGUUUGUGCUUCUUUCUCCUACCACACGGCUGUAAGUCAAAGAUGUGGAAACCUGAAAUUAUAAUGCUGCUCCUGGCUACUGGCCUCCUGCCCCAUUGAUGGUUCAUUGCCCAGCUUAAUGCCUGGUGGUGAUGAAUAUUAUGUCCAGAAAAAGAGAUGUUUGGAUUCCAUGACAGAGCUGCAUUUUAUAAAAAUAUCGGAGACCCCCAAAAUGAACUUCAUGCUGACCAUUUCCUUCUCCUCUCUGUGCUCUCCCUUGCAAAGCCCUUCAAGUAUCCCCUCCCCUCCCCUCCUGCACCUCUUGUGCCCUUUUUACAUCUUUGAUAGCCUGAUGAUAACAGGGUAAAAAAAAGACAGCCAACCUCACGCAUGAUUAGCAGAACUGAUUCCUAUGUUUUAAAAACUCUUCUUUGAAACUAGAAGCCAGAGAAGAUUUUUU